rnacentral:rRNA from 1 species
AACGCGAAGAACCUUACCAAGGCUUGACAUAUAGCGAAAAGUGGCAGAGAUGCCAUGUCCGCAAGGGCGCUAUACAGGUGGUGCAUGGUUGUCGUCAGCUCGUGUCGUGAGAUGUUGGGUUAAGUCCCGCAACGAGCGCAACCCUCGUUCUGUGUUACCAGCAUUAAGUUGGGGACUCACAGGAGACUGCCGGGGUCAACUCGGAGGAAGGUGGGGAUGACGUCAAGUCCUCAUGCCCCUUAUGUCCAGGGCUGCAAACACGCUACAAUGGCCGGUACAAAGAGAUGCUAGAACGCGAGUUCAUGCCAAUCUCAUAAAGCCGGUCUCAGUUCGGAUUGAGGUCUGCAACUCGACCUCAUGAAGUCGGAGUUGCUAGUAAUCGUAGAUCAGCAACGCUACGGUGAAUACGUUCCCGGGUCUUGUACACACCG